rnacentral:rRNA from 1 species
UACGUAGGUGGCAAGCGUUGUCCGGAUUUACUGGGCGUAAAGAGCGCGCAGGCGGUCGAGUAAGUCGAAUGUGAAAGCCCCCGGCUUAACCGAGGAACUGCCUGUCAAACUGCAUGGCUCGAGUCCGGAAGAGGCAAGUGGAAUUCCCGGUGUAGCGGUGAAAUGCGCAGAUAUCGGGAGGAACACCAAUGGCGAAGGCAGCUUGCUGGGACGGUACUGACGCUGAGACGGCGAAAGCGUGGGAGCAAACAGG